GACGAACGCUGGCGGCGUGCUUAACACAUGCAAGUCGAACGAGACGAUUGAAAGCUUGCUUUCGAAAGUCGAGUGGCAAACGGGUGAGUAACGCGUAGACAACCUGCCUUUGAGAUGGGGACAACAGUUCGAAAGGACUGCUAAUACCGAAUGUUGUAUAUUUUCCACAUGGAAGAUAUAUUAAAGAUGGCCUCUAUUUAUAAGCUAUCGCUCAAAGAUGGGUCUGCGUCUGAUUAGCUAGUUGGUGGGGUAACGACCUACCAAGGCGACGAUCAGUAGCCGGUCUGAGAGGUUGCACGGCCACAGUGGACCGUACACACGGCCCAGACUCCUACGGGAGGCAGCAGUGGGGAAUCUUCCACAUUGGACGAAAGUCUGAUGGAGCAACGCCGCGUGAGUGAAGAAGGGUUUCGUCUCGUAAAGCUCUGUUGUCGGGGACGAAUGUGCAUUACUUGAAUAAAGUAGUGUAAUGACGGUACCUGACGAGGAAGCCACGGCUAACUACGUGCCAGCCGCCGCCGUAA
rnacentral:rRNA from 1 species